AUGACUUUGAUCUCCGUCCUCAUCUGGACUCUCCUCUGCUGCUGCUUCACAGAGUCCAGAGGCCAGGUCACAGUGACUCAGCCUGGAGCAGUGAGCUCUGCUCUGGGAGGCUCCGUCUCCAUCAGCUGUAGGACCAGUCAGGAUGUUUAUGUUUCGAGCAGCUACCACAGAUUAGCCUGGUACCAACAGAGAGAUGGAGAAACUCCUAAACUGCUCAUUAGCUCUGCUACUUAUCGAAAAUCAGGGAUUCCAGAUCGUUUUACAGGCAGUGGAUCAAACUCUGACUUCACUCUGACCAUCAGUGGAGUCCAGACUGAAGAUGCAGCAGUUUACUACUGUCAGAGUUAUCAUGAAAUCAACAGUCAGGGUGUGUGGACUUUUGGUGGAGGAACCAGACUGAAUGUUGGAAGUGAUGUCCGUCCCACCCUGACGGUGCUGCCCCCCUCCAGUGAGGAGCUGCUGAAGGGGAAGGCCACACUCAUGUGCCUGGCCAACAAGGGCUUCCCCUCAGACUGGAGUCUGGCCUGGAAGGUGGACGGCAGCAGCAGCAGCAGCUGGGAGGAGAGCAGGAGCCCCGGGGUGCUGGGGAAGGACGGCAAAUACAGCUGGAGCAGCACCCUGAGGCUCCCUAAAGACCAGUGGGAGAAGGUGGGCUCUGUGACCUGUGAGGCCACCCAGGGCUCCCAGACUCCGCUCUCAGAGACACUGAGGAGAGACCAGUGUUCCCAGUCCUGACCUGACUCACUGGGACUCUGCUACUGGUUUCACUCUGAUACUGAUCUCAGUCUGCUCUCUGCUACUCUCUCUCUCUCUCUCUCUCUCUCUCUCUCUCUCUCUCUCUCUCUCUCUCUCUCUCUUUCUGGCAUCAGACCAAUUUAACAGUGUUCAACUUGAAAUAGCAAUGUUUUAUUUGUUGCAAUAAUCCUUAUGCUGUUAAUGCUGUAAGACAAUAAAACAUGAUUCAUA